CGAUGAAGAACGCAGCGAAAUAGCGAUAAGUAAUAGUGAAUUGCAGAAUUCAGUGAAUCAUCGAAUCUUUGAACGCACAUUGCGCCCUUGGUAUUCCGGGGGGCAUGCCUGUUCGAGCGUCAUUAUAACCCUCAAGCCUAGCUUGGUGUUGGAGCCUGCCUCUGGGCAGCUCUUAAAAUCAGUGGCGGUGCCGUCUGGCUCUAAGCGUAGUAAUUUUUCUCGCUACAGAGUCCUGGCGGUUGCUUGCCAACAACCCCAAAUUUUCUAUGGUUGACCUCGGAUCAGGUAGGGAUACCCGCUGAACUUAA
rnacentral:rRNA from 1 species